ACGGAUUAGUUAUUUUAUUAACGCAGCUCAGGCUCCAGGCGGGUGUCCGGAUCCGGCUUUCAGGGCAGAGUCCACGAUGGGUACUCACAGGGAGAGGGCAGGACGAGGCCAGGACCAGAGAAGGCAUCAGGGAGAAUAGUCAUGGUGAACUCCUGUGCAGCCUUCAAAACCCACUUCAAAUGACUGAGCCAAGGGUCUGUUCUCACCCCGCCCCCACCACACUUCCCGUACCCCUGCCUUAGUCCCUCACAAAUCCAGACAUGGGCCUCCUCUUUGCAGACAUGGGCUUUUAUUCACUGUCAGCUCCAGGAUGGACGGAGGGAGCGAGUCAUGCACAGCCUGGUCUACUCCAGCACCGGGGCGCGGGCACGGGAGCAGGCAGAGCGGACUGCAGGGCCCGGACAGCGGGGCACGGCGACCCCGCCAGCCCGCGCCCAGUGGGGGCGGCCGGGAGAGCGGGGCUGGCGACCCGACUCUCGCCAGGGGGGCGCGGGCGCGUCUGCCCCCCGGCCUCAGCUCCCCGCGCGCGCGGCGGAGCGAGCAGAAGCGCUGGCACACAGCACUGGGGCCCCAAGUGCUCACUGCGGUCAGUUCUGUAAACACAAGGAAACUGAGGCACAAAGUGGGGACGCCAUUUUCCCAGAGCCACACGGUGAAGCCAAGAUUCAGACGGGCCCCCACUGCCCCCAGUUGGGUUUACUCAAUCAAACUUCAUCUCAGGGAGGCUCCAAAAUGAGGGAACCCCUGGGGGGGGGGUGUUUCAGACACAUCAUGCUCAGGGGGUCGCAGCGGUGGGCAUCGAACAGGUGAAAUCACAUCCAGGGUGCACAUUCUUCUCCAGGCCUGGUAGCAUUCUUCAAGGCCUGUGCCUCCCAGAACAUCAGUGUCCUCAUGUGGAGUGGGUGACCCCUCUGCCUAGCUACUGAACUCCUACUCAUCCAUCAAAGCCCCAGUUCCCCUACAACCCCUCCUCCAGGCUGAAGCCUGCAGGACUAGAGGCCGACUCUAGCAAGGCUGGCCUAGGAGUGGAGGCUGUGAUGGUGGGAAGCAGCCUUCAGCAGCCAGCCUGUCAUCGGAUUACUUUGUUUUACGGUGGAGGGGAAUUGUUACAGACAUUCCAAGUCAUAUCCAAACUGAGCCAAGACCCGUGAACUGGGCUGCAAAUCACUGGGUCUCGGGUCAGGGAUGGGAUCAAGUUCACAAAAUAACAUAAAAGGUACAGAAAAACCAGAAAACACAAAUACACUUGACUUGUCCAAAGUACUUCCUUCUCAGCCCAGGGGGCAGGGUCUGCAAACGGGGUCCCAGAUGCAAGGGCAGGACCCGGGCAGCCGCCUUUGUAGUGGCGGCUCCAUCUGGCUGUCACUCAUAAAAGGUAAUAAAUUAGUUGCAGGUUUUGCUGCUAUUUACAAGGACACCCUCAUCCCCCAUUCCUGCCGCUACAGCCCGACCGGCACCAGAACAGAGGGAGGCGCUGUCUCCACCUUCCAGGAGGGACUGAGAUGGCUUCUCGCUUGCCAGGUGUCAGGCUGGUGGCUCAGUCUUCACCCAGGUGUCACUUUACAGAAAAAACACUGCACAGAACACAUGCACCUUCCAGGCCAGGGAGGGCUUAGUCCUUCCCGGUGGGUCCUAGGGCUCCCGGCAGGGCCUCGGUGCCCUCCACGGCGAUCUGCGGCACCGAGGCGGGUGGCCCGCUGGCCUCCUCGGGCGGCUCGUCAAAGCUCACCUCCUGCACGGCCUCCUGCUUCUUGAAGGAGUCCCGGCGCUCGGACAGGUGCAGCCGCC
ensembl:lncRNA